AUGCAUUAAAUUUAUGAGUAAGAAAAAUAAUGAUUUGGGUAACUCCUGAAUCUUCACUACACAUGUGAAAAGAAUUUUUGAGUUGGUACAGCUUGUCCCUAAGGUGACCUGUCUACUUUAGCAGGAUGCUUAGGUGUACUCCCAG